CUUAGCUCAGCUGGAUAGAGCAACGGCCUUCUAAGCCGUGGGUCGCAGGUUCGAGUCCUGCAGG
rnacentral:tRNA from 3 species